CACGUAGUUAGCCGGUGCUUCUUUACCCAUUACCGUCACUCACACUUCGUCACAGGCGAAAGCGGUUUACAACCCGAAGGCCGUCAUCCCGCACGCGGCGUUGCUGCAUCAGGCUUCCGCCCAUUGUGCAAUAUUCCCCACUGCUGCCUCCCGUAGGAGUCUGGGCCGUAUCUCAGUCCCAAUGUGGCCGGUCACCCUCUCAGGCCGGCUACCCGUCAAAGCCUUGGUAAGCCACUACCCCACCAACAAGCUGAUAAGCCGCGAGUCCAUCCCCAACCGCCGAAACUUUCCAACCCCCACCAUGCAGCAGGAGCUCCUAUCCGGUAUUAGCCCCAGUUUCCUGAAGUUAUCCCAAAGUCAAGGGCAGGUUACUCACGUGUUACUCACCCGUUCGCCACUCGAGCACCCCACAAAAGCAGGGCCUUUCCGUUCGACUUGCAUGUGUUAAGCACGCCGCCAGCGUUCGUCCUGAGCCAGGAUCAAACUCU
rnacentral:rRNA from 1 species